rnacentral:rRNA from 1 species
ACUCCUACGGGAGGCAGCAGUGGGGAAUAUUGCACAAUGGGGGAAACCCUGAUGCAGCCAUGCCGCGUGUGUGAAGAAGGCCUUCGGGUUGUAAAGCACUUUCAGUCGUUGAGGAAGGUAGUGUAGUUAAUAGCUGCAUUAUUUGACGUUAGCGACAGAAGAAGCACCGGCUAACUCCGUGCCAGCAGCCGCGGUAAUACGGAGGGUAGCGAGCGUUAAUCGGAAUUACUGGGCGUAAAGCGCAUGCAGGUGGUUUGUUAAGUCAGAUGUGAAAGCCCGGGGCUCAACCUCGGAAUUGCAUUUGAAACUGGCAGACUAGAGUAACUGUAGAGGGGGGUAGAAUUUCAAGGUGUAGCGGUGAAAUGCGUAGAGAUCUGAAGGAAUACCGGUGGCGAAAGGCGGCCCCCUGGACAGAUACUGACACUCAGAUGCGAAAGCGUGGGGAGCAAACAGGAUUAGAUACCCUGGUAGGAUAGCG